rnacentral:rRNA from 1 species
GGGACACGUGGUAUCCUGUCUGAAUAUGGGGGGACCAUCCUCCAAGGCUAAAUACUCCUGACUGACCGAUAGUGAACCAGUACCGUGAGGGAAAGGCGAAAAGAACCCCGGCGAGGGGAGUGAAAAAGAACCUGAAACCGUGUACGUACAAGCAGUGGGAGCACCUUCGGGUGUGACUGCGUACCUUUUGUAUAAUGGGUCAGCGACUUAUAUUCUGUAGCAAGGUUAACCGUAUAGGGGAGCCGCAGGGAAACCGAGUCUUAACUGGGCGUUAAGUUGCAGGGUAUAGACCCGAAACCCGGUGAUCUAGCCAUGGGCAGGUUGAAGGUUGGGUAACACUAACUGGAGGACCGAACCGACUAAUGUUGAAAAAUUAGCGGAUGACUUGUGGCUGGGGGUGAAAGGCCAAUCAAACCGGGAGAUAGCUGGUUCUCCCCGAAAGCUAUUUAGGUAGCGCCUCGUGAACUCAUCUUCGGGGGUAGAGCACUGUUUCGGCUAGGGGGUCAUCCCGACUUACCAACCCGAUGCAAACUACGAAUACCGAAGAAUGUUAUCACGGGAGACACACGGCGGGUGCUAACGUCCGUCGUGAAGAGGGAAACAACCCAGACCGCCAGCUAAGGUCCCAAAGUCAUGGUUAAGUGGGAAACGAUGUGGGAAGGCACAGACAGCCAGGAUGUUGGCUUAGAAGCAGCCAUCAUUUAAAGAAAGCGUAAUAGCUCACUGGUCGAGUCGGCCUGCGCGGAAGAUGUAACGGGGCUAAACCAUGCACCGAAGCUGCGGCAGCGACACUAUGUGUUGUUGGGUAGGGGAGCGUUCUGUAAGCCUGCGAAGGUGUGCUGUGAGGCAUGCUGGAGGUAUCAGAAGUGCGAAUGCUGACAUAAGUAACGAUAAAGCGGGUGAAAAGCCCGCUCGCCGGAAGACCAAGGGUUCCUGUCCAACGUUAAUCGGGGCAGGGUGAGUCGACCCCUAAGGCGAGGCCGAAAGGCGUAGUCGAUGGGAAACAGGUUAAUAUUCCUGUACUUGGUGUUACUGCGAAGGGGGGACGGAGAAGGCUAUGUUAGCCGGGCGACGGUUGUCCCGGUUUAAGCAUGUAGGCUGAUUGUCCAGGCAAAUCCGGAUAAUCAAGGCUGAGGUGUGAUGACGAGGCACUACGGUGCUGAAGUAACAAAUGCCCUGCUUCCAGGAAAAGCCUCUAAGCAUCAGGUAACAUUAAAUCGUACCCCAAACCGACACAGGUGGUCAGGUAGAGAAUACCAAGGCGCUUGAGAGAACUCGGGUGAAGGAACUAGGCAAAAUGGUGCCGUAACUUCGGGAGAAGGCACGCUGGUGUGUAGGUGAAGUCCCUGCGGAUGGAGCUGAGACCAGUCGAAGAUACCAGCUGGCUGCAACUGUUUAUUAAAAACACAGCACUGUGCAAACACGAAAGUGGACGUAUACGGUGUGACGCCUGCCCGGUGCCGGAAGGUUAAUUGAUGGGGUUAUCCGUAAGGAGAAGCUCUUGAUCGAAGCCCCGGUAAACGGCGGCCGUAACUAUAACGGUCCUAAGGUAGCGAAAUUCCUUGUCGGGUAAGUUCCGACCUGCACGAAUGGCGUAAUGAUGGCCAGGCUGUCUCCACCCGAGACUCAGUGAAAUUGAACUCGCUGUGAAGAUGCAGUGUACCCGCGGCAAGACGGAAAGACCCCGUGAACCUUUACUAUAGCUUGACACUGAACAUUGAGCCUUGAUGUGUAGGAUAGGUGGGAGGCUUUGAAGCGUGGACGCCAGUCUGCGUGGAGCCAACCUUGAAAUACCACCCUUUAAUGUUUGAUGUUCUAACGUUGGCCCCUGACCGGGGUUGCGGACAGUGUCUGGUGGGUAGUUUGACUGGGGCGGUCUCCUCCCAAAGCGUAACGGAGGAGCACGAAGGUUAGCUAAUCCUGGUCGGACAUCAGGAGGUUAGUGCAAUGGCAUAAGCUAGCUUGACUGCGAGCGUGACGGCGCGAGCAGGUGCGAAAGCAGGUCAUAGUGAUCCGGUGGUUCUGAAUGGAAGGGCCAUCGCUCAACGGAUAAAAGGUACUCCGGGGAUAACAGGCUGAUACCGCCCAAGAGUUCAUAUCGACGGCGGUGUUUGGCACCUCGAUGUCGGCUCAUCACAUCCUGGGGCUGAAGUAGGUCCCAAGGGUAUGGCUGUUCGCCAUUUAAAGUGGUACGCGAGCUGGGUUUAGAACGUCGUGAGACAGUUCGGUCCCUAUCUGCCGUGGGCGCUGGAGAAUUGAGGGGGGCUGCUCCUAGUACGAGAGGACCGGAGUGGACGCAUCACUGGUGUUCGGGUUGUCAUGCCAAUGGCACUGCCCGGUAGCUAAAUGCGGAAGAGAUAAGUGCUGAAAGCAUCUAAGCACGAAACUUGCCCCG